ACCUACAAGAUCAAAAGUCAGUUCAAACCUGCUUUAGAUGACCGAUAGUACAAAAGCAUAUUUUGAUGGAGCAACAGGUAAACCAAAAGCAUAUUCAUUAGAAGUGGGUAAAAUAGUUCUAACUCAUAUAAAAGGCCAAUACUGAAUUAUGGUCUUACUAUGGUUGGGUACUGGAGAAAGAACUAAGAGGCAGUCUUACCCUUCAGUAUUUUUUGCAUGAAGUGGCUGCUGCUCCUAAGAAUUGAACCUAUACACUUGUGGUUGCAAGUCCAAGACUUUUACCAAUGCAAAUGCAAUGGCCCCAAGUAUUGAUAAAUAAUGUUAUACAGAAUUUGAGUUGAAUUACGUACAUGACUAGCCAACAUGUAUAGUAGGAGAUUGUAUGCAGCCCCAGCCCAAGCAGUCUUUGUGACUAA
rnacentral:misc_RNA from 1 species